AAUCAAUUGGAGUUGGCCCCGCCUCGCCGCGCAGCAAUACGCGGUGCCGGCGCCGGCGCCGGCGCCAGCACCGCCCACCUAUCGCUCCUAGCGGUACGCCAUUGCAAGGCUCCCAACAACUCCCCCAAAACUGUGUGCCGCGCGCCAUCCCAGCCCCGCUUGCCCAGCCCCGCCGCCGCAGCGCAUCGCCCGCGCCCCGCUCCUUCGACGGGAUGACGCCCGAAGGCCUCUCCAGCGCCACCACGAGAGACCUAUCCACCUCGCCCCCACUGCCGCAAGAUCUGAAAUCUUGUUAUUUUGUCUUCCAAAAAUGCACUUAGCCGUUGUAUUGUCACGACUUGAUCAUAUAUUCUCAAGCCAUACACUUACUCGCCACAACUACAUUAAGAAGUGGACCUAUGAUGUGUGGCAGGUCAGGUCUGCUGGAGAAGAACCAAGUGGAGAGGAACUGUAUGCUGAAGCUGAACUGGUUGGCAAUGGUGGUUACACUUUACACCCACGCACCACAAGGCGACCAUUCUCGUUCAUCCCAGAGCAAUGUGCCACAGUGUCCGAUGUUUUGCAAAUCAUUGCUUGGAGCUUUUCGUUUUUGUUAUGAUCUGACGAUGCGCGUUAGUUUGCGCGGUUUCUUGUUCAUAGCUUGCAGACUUCCAGCUCCUGACUGGGUCCUCAGGUGUUGGUAUGUUUGCCAGCUUUACUUUCUUUUUUCGAAACAUGAUCAGAUUUAAUUCUAAACACUCUGUAUGUAAUGAACUCUUUUGCUGCAGGACGAUUUGGUAGUUUCCAGUGCCUGACUUGGUGUUAAAAUCUUGUGCAUGUGCGGACACUGAGCGGGUCGUUUCUAUGUGAUGGCAUAAUACUCAUUGCGCGUUUGCUACUCUUUAGGUGUCUGAAAGAAUUUCAGGCGACAGUUGAAUCUGCGGAGCCUCCUGAGGGUGAGACAGGGAUGACGUGGCUCGCCGGCGGAGGAUAGGAAAGAGGUUGAUCGGUUCGGGUAGGGAGGUGCUCGGCGCCGGAGAGGGGGGAAGGAGGAAAAGGAUGACCGUUUCCGUUGGAUGUAGACCGGACGGUCGAGGGAAAUUGCGAUUGAACUGGUUUUGAUAUGACUUUCAUGGUUAAAAGCACACAAGGUACUAGUAUUUCCUUUC